CCUUGAAAGAGAAAAAGAAAUCGCUGAACUGAAAGCGGAAAGGAACACCACCAGGGUUAGUGGGGUUCUUACUGGGUUAACAUUUGCUUCCGGUCAUGAUUGGGCUCUGGGUUAUUGUCUUUAAACUCAAAAGAUGAUCCACUCUGCCUGCUUUUAAACAGAUUUUCGACAUCUUCUCACUAAGCGGACUGGGGUUGACCAGUUCAGGGUGCUCAUACCUUGCUUGAAAUUUAUGGUGAGAGUUAAUGUAAUUUUAGUCCAUUUGAGGGGGAAUUUCUCUAACUUGUUUGACUGGCCACACUGCAGCGUGUGGAAUCUAGUAACCAGACCCCCUGCAUUGGGAGCGCCAAGUGUUAUCCACUGGAGAGCCAGGAAAGGCCCUUAGCUAAUGAUUCUUAAAAGAGCAGAAAAACCGGAAGGAGACAUUGACAGGACAGACGGGGGUGCUUGACAUAAACCCCGAGCAUGAAUGGAAAGGCAAGUCCUUGUCUCCCUCUCUGUCUGGUUCUCAUCUCACCUGUCCAGUCUGUGCAGGUCUGUUGCCAACACACCGCUUAGACCUGAGCGGCCGUGACAGUCGUGUGAGCCCACAGCGUGCAGAAGGCAGUUUUGACCUUAGCGAUUUCCCAGAAGUGCUUAUUUCGUCCCUCAGCAAACAAGGCCGUUUAAGGAUUCUUUCCGUUAGAGGUCUUCUGAUGGUUCUCAUGAGGAAGACCCGGCCGAAGUGCCCGAGCUCCGGGAAAUCUCAGACGAGCAGCUGAGAGCAGAGCCAGAUGAAGGAGCUGGACGCCCGGCCGCCUUCGGUACUCACGUGACAGAGCGGGAGGAAGGUCUGUACACGGCCGGAGAAAACCUCAUCGUAUCUGAGGAAGUGAACACGAAAUUGCAAUGAGAUGUUUGUGAGCUGGUAUGUCAGAGACAGAAAACUCAUCUCCAGAUGUCUUGGGCCUCAGCAAAUUGGGAGGACAGGCUGAAAACAAUGAUAAGCUUCCAAAAAAACAAGAGUCUUUAGAGGUCGAUCCUGAAAGUGGAAAACAGGCUGUUUAAUGCUUGCAAUCAACACACCCCCUUCCUGAGUCACCACCACACACACAGGGAAGCCCUCAGCAUGUGGAACAGACGGUCCUCUGCUGCCCACCGUCCCAGGAGGGACUCAGGACAGAAAACUCCACACAGAGACCAACAAGAUUGUUCCUUGCAUUACCAAGUGUGUGACUGAGCCUCCGGUAAAAAUGAUGACUAGGCGACUUGAAACAAGUGACCAAAUCUAUAGUCUUAUAAGACCAAUGAUUUUAAUAGUGUAACUCUACAUAUGGGAAGAAGCAACAAGAGAGAACCAGCAACAAGAGAGAACCAUUUCCUGGACCACAACAGACUGGUGGAACACCACGCAGAGGCCUUUGGCUACUGUUGCAUUAGGGGCAGGGCGCGUGCGGGGCGUCGCCGGUGCAGUGUGGCAGUGGCCCUGUGGCCACAGUCUCCUCGGGCCGCAGUCCGGCUGCCAUUUGCCCACUCGCCCCCUUUGCCGGCGCAGUCACCAAGCCUGCAACAACCAACCACGCAGCACCCCUCCUCUGUAUACAAGGAGCCCGAAAUCUGACUGGGGGAAGAUGGCUUGUGGAGACACUGGUCCGCCAUCUUCUCCGAAUAAAAAGUCGCUCUGCCUUGCCCCAGCAACUCGCCUCUCAGUUUACUGGCCUGUCGUGCAGCAAGCAGAACGACCUUGGACUCUAUCAAUUUUGGCGAAGCCGGCCAGGAGCCUUGCUGCUUGUGGUCAGCCCCGGUUGGGGAAUUUUUGGGUAAAGCCCUAGCAGCUGCUGGGACCACCUGUCCUGAGGAUCUUCCCUUUAAAAUUCCCUGAAGCGGCACCAGAUGCCCCAGCGCUUGGCAGUGGGAGCUCCGUACAGAUGGAAUCGACGGGCUCCAGACAGUAGGUGUGUCUGAUGUGUACAACUGGGAACACACCACCCUCUCAAUUUCGGCUUUUCCUGUAAGGGAACAGCCAAGUUGGUUUGCAUUUGACUGGGGUACCCUGUUGCAGAGGGGAAUUUUUGUUGCAACUCUGUGAACCAGUUUGUUUGCUUUUGUUUUGCAUUCAUUCACGAUGGAAUUUG